rnacentral:tRNA from 2 species
UCCUCGGUAGCUCAGCUGGUAGCAGCGUCGCACUGUUAAUGCGAAGGUCCCUGGUUCGAACCCAGGUCGAGGAGCCA